rnacentral:lncRNA from 1 species
UGGAGAUCUGGUUAACUGUGGAAGAGAGGCCCUUUGUAAAGAGAAUAUAAAAUGCACUGGACCCCUUCCCCAGGCAGGCAGGACCCAUUCCCGCCGCCUCCAUUCACCCUCUCAGCCACCCUCCGUUCUCAUGCCCUGUCACCCUUCUGCAAUCCUUUUAAACCCCGCUCUUGUGAUGUCACGCCGAUCCUCCUUCGCCCCCGCUGCCGGAGAGAGCUACUUGGUGUCCAGUUUGGCCAUCUCCUGCACGUAGAUGCCGAUGCUCUCGCUGUCGAAGAGCAGGAAGUACACAUUCUUCAGCGAGGACGAGCCCGAGUCGUCCUCGAAGUGAGCCGAGAUGGCCUUGAGGGUCACCUGGGCGGCCUGGGGAAGCAGUUUCUGCCACUGGGGAACGGUGGGAAGGCGACGGAUUUAAGCUUCUUAUCCUCAGCUGCAGACAGGCAGUUUUUGAUGGUCUCUUCCAGCUGUUCUUCACAUUUGUCAGAGCCCCACCGGGGGAUGUGACAGUGGAUGACAAAUUUGGCUGCGAGUCCACUGGAUUGGCUGACGGCAGCUUCAGCGAUUUCUAAAGGGCCUUGGGACUUGCGAAGCUCCUUUACUGUUUCCAAGAACUCUUUACCCCCAGCCUUUUCCAAGGCUUUCCCUAUCUCUUCCUUGAGGUCGAUCUCAGCUGUGGUUGGAUGGACGAUGCCCUCCACCCUCAUGGAGCCAAUAUGGCUGAUGUCACUCUGGGUCAGGGAUAGCUUCUGCCCCAGAACGUGGCUCUUCGAAGACAAGAUGGUGAAGCCAUCCCCCGGCACAUCCUCCGAGGUGGAAUUUGAUGUUCCUUCUUUAUUGCUGUCCUUUGCUUUAGACUUCUUCGACGUCCCUGGCUUGGUGGCCUUGGAUUUCUUAGCCCCCUUCUUGCCUGAUGUGGCCUUCCUUCCUCUUUUCUCUGGGGGUGGGAGAGGAUUGUCUCUGACUUGCCUUUGGUCCCUCUUCUUGGCCAGCAGUUCGUGGAGAAUUCUCGGCAGGACACCCCCACUGGCGAUAGUCACUCCUUUCAGUAGCUGGUUGAGUUCCUGGUCGUUGGCAACGGCCAGCAGGAUGUGUCUGGGGGCUAUCCGGGCCUUCUUGUUGUCCCUCGCAGCGUUCCUGGCCAACUCCAGGAUUUCCGCUGCUAGGUACUCAGUGACCGCAGCCAUGUAGACCUGAGCACCUACGCUGAUCCUGUACUUGAAGGUUCCCUUUUUCAGGCUUCAGAGAAAUCAGGAGCGGUGAAUGAUCGAAAUGGACCUUUGAGAUUACAGUGUGGAGCUGACAUUGCCAGUUAAGCCUGGGCAGAUCUGACUUAAUUGAUUUAGUUGUUGGAGCAGAGACAACCCAGAGGCUUGGAUCAGCCUCC